ACUUUCAGCGACGGAUGUCUUGGCUCCCACAACGAUGAAGAACGCAGCGAAAUGCGAUACGUCUUGCGACUUGCAGAAUCCAGUGAAUCAUCAAAACUUUGAACGCAUCUUGCGCUUCCGGGAUAUUCCUGGGAGCAUGCUUGUCGGAGUGUC
rnacentral:rRNA from 2 species